rnacentral:lncRNA from 1 species
UAAUAUAAGAAAUAACACAAUAUUUCAAUACAAAAAUAUAUCAAAGUGUACUAUAGUUUUACAAACUAAAUUGAAAUGUCAUUCACUUCAACCAUUACGAUUACAAGAAACUUCAAAUCUUGCUUGAACUUCAAAUCACUACAAAAACUUGCUUAAACUUCAAAUCACUAGCAUCCAAACUCAAGAUAGGAUCUGCAACAGUUCAUGAAACUCAGCGGAUUUCACUACGAUAUCACCUGGCUGCAAAGAGAAAUACACAAUAAGCGACUUCAUCCAAACUCAAAACAUGGAUGAAUAUAGCAUACUUGAUGAAUUUAGUACUACCAGCCAGUUAAGUUAUAUGGUGGAAUAAGACAUGUUAGUUGACAAGAAUAUAUUACAACAAUAACAACAUAAUACACAGUGAAAUUUCACAAGCGGGUUUGGGAAAGGUAGAAUAUACGCACAAGUAAUGACUUAUCCCCAGUUACGCUUGUCAGGGAGCAAAAGGAAAACAAUUACUAUUGUUUAUGUCCAGCCAAAUAAUACAACUUACAGAGUUAAGAGCCUGCUCAAGAAAUACAUCAGUAGCUACCUUUUUGUGUAACUCAAACCAAUUGGGUCUGCGAUGGCCACAAGCCACUACUCCCCUGUACUAAUUUUACUUUUUAAUGAAAUGCUUCAUAUUUCCUUACCAAAAAAAAAGUAACAACAAAUGGGUCCUAGUUAGAUAAAGUCUAAAGAUUAAUUCAUUGGGAAAAGAAAUUAAUUAGUAAUAUCUAUAUGGCUAGAUCUCACAUUAGUUGUACACUGAAAUGUACCUCUAAUCCUUAAUUCUUUGAAGUAUCAAAGUUCCAGAGAAAAAGAUUUUACUUACCAAUGCCAACCACCUUGCUAUGCCUAUAUAACAUAAUUAUAGGUGCAGUAAGUUCUCAAGACAAUGUAAAAUAUUCAUUAAACAACACCAACAACUAUAUAAAAGCUAUAACUUGAAAUGUAAAAGUCCAACUAGUGAAUUAGAAAAUACCAGUUACUAUUCAGAUGAUCAAUUAUAAUUUUUUGAAAAGGCACAAUUACUAAAAAUAAUGUGACCUCUCAAAACUGAACAUGAGUCUAAUGAUGCUUAGGAUUGGGUCUGUUGGGAGAAAUUGAAUUUUGCUUGCAAAAAGAGUCCACUGGCCAUCCAAGAUGUAAUCUUGGCAAUAAUCUUGUCCACUAAGGGUUUAAUUGGACUAUUGUAAGCCUUUUAGGUGUCGUUUAAUACAAAGAUUAAUAAUGUAGGGAUUAGUAAUGCAAGGUUCCUUAGUAAAAUUGUUUGGCACACCUAGAUAUUUGAAACAGAGUUCUCCAACCUCAUAUCCAAGCAUAGUCAAGAUGGUUUCCUUAGUAAAUUUGUUAAUACCUUCAAAACAUACCUGACUUUUCAAAAUGAUGGUCUUCAAAUCAGAAGCAUCAGAAAACAUAUUGAAUUUACCCCUCGAUAGUUGUAGUUGUAUAGAUCUGACAUCUCAUCUAGUAAAUAUAGUAAGUCAACAGCAACAAAGUACUGAUUCAAAACUGAUGUCAACAUCUAGAUGGAAAAAAAUGUUUCAUCAAACUUUCUUAGUUGUAAAUCAGCACAACUACAAAGAAAAAAGACAUUCUUGCAACUCUUCCAAAUCUGUUUGGGUUAAAGGAAUUUUGCAUUUAACUAUCAUUCCAUCUUCACUAACUAUCUAAAGGACAAAAUCAAAUAAAAAAAUACAAUAAACUCACAAGAUUUGUAGAGCGUCGCAGAACUUGAGCGAGUUGUGCAUGACUGCUUAUAAGAGCUUUUAUCUUCUUCAACAAUGCAGCCACAAAUAUUGACACUAUAGCACGAAAAAAUAGUGCAAACUGUCUUAAAGAAAGAUCUCAUCAGAAAAAUGAGAACCAAAUUUAAAAAGAAUAGCUGAAAAGUAGAUGAAACUUACGGAAAUAGCUGGGAAUAUAGACGAAAUCAGGUUCAGUAAUGUGGGAGGAGAUAGUGGUGGGAGUGACGUCUUUGGGAUCGGUGGCAAAAGGGAUGGUUGGGUUUGGGGACAAUUCCAGUUGUUGGGGAUGAUCGUAACAUGUAUACUCAAUAUACUCGAUAUGGUUAGUCAAUCGAUAAAGUGAAACAACCUUAUGGUGCUACUUCUAAUCCUACACAGGCUGAUGACGCGACAAGAAAGAACAGUUCAUCAUCAAACAAGUUGAAAACACCACAUUUCUCCAAUAUCACCACCUUAUAACAUAGAAACAAAUAUCAUAUCUCUCAAAUUUACCAGAUUCACUUACAACUAACAAAAAUCAAUUAAGAAGUUAAUCUAUCCAACCAAAAAAUCAAUUACUAGCAAGUUAUUCUCUAUGUAAACCUUAUUUAAUUAGAUUAUCCAUAUUGAAACCCUAAAGAAUCGAAGUUUAGGGGAAAUCCAAAAAGUACAAUAGUUAUAAACCUUAGAAAGAGCUGAAGCUUCUCCAUGGUGCAGGACGUAGGGCAACGAGCCUAUUGGAGCAUUCUUUUACUCCAAAAUCGGCGAAGAUAUUGCAGAUUUUCUGAAACUAAAAUAGAUUCAAAAUACAAAUCUCAAAACUUUUUACAAACAAUUUGAAGUUGAGAAAAAAAAAAUCAGUUGAUUUAUAGAUUGAAAAUGCAUGAAAAUGAGGAAAAGAGAACUCAUUUUUGAAGCUUUCGAUGUCUAAAUUAAGGAGCAAUUGUUAAAUAGAGAGAAAUUGGGAAGUAAGAGAGGAGAAGAGAAGUAUGAACCAACGAUACCGCCAAUCGCCACCGCCGCCUCCAUCUUUUCCUACUCCGACCACUGUUAUUGUGGAUGAAGACAGUGAUAGCUCCGCCACCAUGGAUUCGCCACCGUGCCGCCUCCAUCACUUCCUACUCCAACCCUAAUUAUCAUAUGAAAAUUGAUCAGUUCGGGAUCGCAGAAAAUAGAAUGAAACUUUUUUUUAUUUGGGGAUUAAAUGAGCAACGAUAUAAAAUUUUAUUUUUUAGGAUAGCGGCGGGUAAUAACCCCACAAAUUCUACUAAAAUUAUAGGGGUUAAUCAAACCUCCGUAAUUUGAUGUAAUUUGUGGGGGUUGAGUUAACCUCCAUUAUAAAACCUCUAGGAUUUAAGUGUUUUUUUGUAGUGGAU